GGUCGGUUAGCUCAGUCGGCAGAGCGUCGUGCUAAUAACGCGAAUGUCAUGGGUUCGAGACCCAUAUCGACCA
rnacentral:tRNA from 1 species